ACUGUGUAUGUGAUAGAGGCUGUAUUUUUCAAUUGAUCUUCAUGAAUUUUGGUCAGAAUGAUUGCCUUGAUAAAAUCUAGGUCGAGUUUGAACAUGGGUUAUCUAGGGUCAAAAACUAGGUCAUAUCUAAGAAAAUGCUUGUUUUAUUGCAAGAGACCAAUUUUUUGGUUCAAUCUUAAUGAAAAUUGGUCAGAAUAUUUAUUUCCAUGAAAUCACAAGGUCAAACAUGUUUUACACUGUUAUGGUGUGUUUCUUAGGUGAGCGACCUAGGGCCAUCUUGGCCCUCUUGUUUAAGCUAUAUUGACUGGAACAGGGUUGUUCGUUACAAAUACAGAGCUGUCAGUGCUGCAGUUUUGUUGUGAAAGUCACAAUCCAUGUCAGAAGGUGCUUGUUUUACUAUACAGCAAAGACGAAGAAAUUGUACUGGGCCGACACCUAUAUGGAAAUAGUUAAUUUUGAAUAUCUCAGCAACCAAAGGGUUUACAGCAAUGGAACUUCACACACUACUAGCUGAUAACAAUAGAAACCAGUGGCUAAAAGGAUUUUAUCAAGUUGGAAGUAACAGUAACAGUAACACAGAAUGGCUGGAGACCAUUAACUUUAAAACUGAAGAGAUGCAGGUCUUUGUUCUAUAUGGUGAUUGGUGGAACUACGGUGCAGUAUUGAAUUUAUAAGGUGUGAAGUUACAUAAAAGCAGAAUAGCUACAGACCAUGAAAUUUAGAAAAUGAAGAGAUGCAUGUCUCUGUUCAGCAUGGUGUAUAUGGGAAACAUUGGGGGUCACAGACCUCUGUUAGCGUGGUGUAUAUGGGAAACAUUGUGGGUCACAGACAUGAAAUGAUUUGUGUGAAGUAACAGUAAAGCAGAAUGGCUACAGACAAUUAGUUCAGAAUUGAAGAAGAGAUGCAGGUCUUUGUUCUAUCUGGUGUAUGAGGGAACCAUGGUGGAAAUUUGGAUUUCAUGGCAGUCAUAGAAAUAUCUAAUAAGUCUGUAGGAAAGUGAUGUGUGUACCAGUCUGUCAGACUUUUACCUGUCUGUCCAGUCGACAAAUUCGCAAUAGAUGCGUAGAUUCUCAAAUAAUUUGGCAGAGUUUUCACAGUUACUAAGACAGAUUGCAAAAGAUUUUUGGUAAGUUUUAGUCGACUAUA